rnacentral:rRNA from 1 species
AUUGAACGCUGGCGGCAGGCCUAACACAUGCAAGUCGAGCGAGCGGCGGACGGGUGAGUAAUGUAUGGGGACUGCCCGAUAGAGGGGGAUAACUACUGGAAACGGUGGCUAAUACCGCAUACUAUCGGAUAACCCAUAUGGGAUUAGCUAGUAGGUGGGGUAAAGGCUCACCUAGACGACGAUCUCUAGCUGGUCUGAGAGGAUGAGAAGCCACACUGGGCUGGAGAGAAGGCCCAGACUCCUACGGAGGCGGCAGUGGGGAAUAUUGCACAAUGGGCGCAGGCCUGAUGCAGCCAUGCCGAGUGUAUGAAGAAGUCCUUAGGGUUUUAAAGUACUUUCAGCGGGGAGGCGUGACCCUCAGAAGAAGCACCGGCUAACUCCGUGCCAGCAGCCGCGGUAAUAC